AUUGAACGCUGGCGGCAGGCCUAACACAUGCAAGUCGAACGGUAACAGGAAGCAGCUUGCUGCUUUGCUGACGAGUGGCGGACGGGUGAGUAAUGUCUGGGAAACUGCCUGAUGGAGGGGGAUAACUACUGGAAACGGUAGCUAAUACCGCAUAACGUCGCAAGACCAAAGAGGGGGACCUUCGGGCCUCUUGCCAUCGUAUGUGCCCAGAUGGGAUUAGCUAGUAGGUGGGGUAACGGCUCACCUAGGCGACGAUCCCUAGCUGGUCUGAGAGGAUGACCAGCCACACUGGAACUGAGACACGGUCCAGACUCCUACGGGAGGCAGCAGUGGGGAAUAUUGCACAAUGGGCGCAAGCCUGAUGCAGCCAUGCCGCGUGUAUGAAGAAGGCCUUCGGGUUGUAAAGUACUUUCAGCGGGGAGGAAGGGAGUAAAGUUAAUACCUUUGCUCAUUGACGUUACCCGCAGAAGAAGCACCGGCUAACUCCGUG
rnacentral:rRNA from 1 species